rnacentral:rRNA from 1 species
UAGUCCGCACAGUAAACGAUGAAUACUCGCGGUUAGCGAUAUACAGUUAGCCGCCAAGCGAAAGCGUUAAGUAUUCCACCUGGGGAGUACGCCGGCAACGGUGAAACUCAAAGGAAUUGACGGGGGCCCGCACAAGCGGAGGAACAUGUGGUUUAAUUCGAUGAUACGCGAGGAACCUUACCCGGGCUUGAACUGCCAGUGACGUAUGCAGAGACGCAUAUUUCUUCGGACACUGGUGG